UUGGAUAGUUACCACAUUCAGCACUACCCUCUGUGUGUAGUGGUGGUAGUGUUUUCAGCUGGCUUGGUCCAGAGUGGACUGUUAAUGUAUAAGUUAUUAUAGGUGAAGAUUUUAAACAUCCUUUUGAAUAUGUAUUGGUGCAGUGGUGAACCAAAGAACAUCAAUUAUGAAUGCAGGAAGCUCUGGACAGGUGCCUGGGUGAGCUAGGCCUGUAGGUGGUUGAGAGCUCGUUGCUCGGCUCAUCUCGUACCUGGACAUAGGGAGGAGGAGGGUGCAGGGAAGAGGGUGACGGUGACUGUCACUUUCUGGACAUCGACAUGGCAGAAGAGAAAGCCACAGGUUCCCUGGGUGCCAGCACACUCCUGGACCUUGACACAGAUCUGGCGACCCAGCAGGUGCAAGGCGAGAGUACUGACCUGGAAUGGUAGGCUCUCAAUGGUUGACUUUAUAGAGGGUUUAUUAUGGUUAGAUUUAUUGGCGGCUUUAUGGAACUAUCUAUAUCACUUUACACUUUCCAUAAUAUUCAGCCUAGGAAAACCAUUGUCUGUUCAAAGUGGCAAUUUGUUUUUGAGUCCCAGAAUUAGAAUGAAUAGAAUUAGAAUUCAUUUAAUUCAAUCAGAAUUCUCUCUGGUUUAUUCCUUUCCAUUCUGACUCUGUUUUGAGUGAGCUAAACCAGUUCGGAUGUGCACCAGUACUCUAGAACCAAGCUACUCACUCACCUCUUCUUUAUUCCCAGAAUCCCCAGAGGUACUAUGGUCUGGGGAAACAUAAUCUCUUGGAGCUUCCUCUGGAGUCGCUGGUGUGGAUCUUCUGGGAUAUGCUGCAUGUGGACGGGAAGAGAGGCUACUGGAACCUGUCUCUGGUCACAGCGGAACCUUCCGUACCAUCCUGAGAAAGCUGUCAUCAAGGCAAAGAGUGGCUCCUUUGAAGAAUAUAAAAUAUAUUUUCAUUUGUUUAACACUUUUUUUCAGUUAAUACAUGAUUACAUAUGUUAAUUCAUAGUGUUGAUGUCUUCACUAUUAUUCUACAAUGUAGAAAAUAGUAAAAAGAAAAACCCUUGAAUGAGUAGGUGUGUCUAAACUUUUGACUGGUACUGUAUAUGCUUUUUAAAACUAUAACCGAUAAAAUGUUUCAUAAAUGAACAUGGGUUUGGAUGAGAACCAUAGGAAUACAGAGGUAGGUAUUCAAAAUGGUCUGGCACCUUGGCCAAUUAAGCUACAAGGCCGAACUUUAAAACAUUCAGCUCAUCCUAACUUAAAAUUCUUUAAAACUGAAAGACUAUAACUAUAUAUUUGCAUAAAAUACUCUGCAAACGUAACUAUUCAACUGUUCAAGUUAGAGACACCAAACCAAUUUUCACAUGUUCAGGCCAUCCUAACUAAAAAAAUAUUUAAAACAUUUAUAAACUAUAACUACAAAUGUGCAUAAAUUAGCAUAUCCAUAAAAUGGUACAGCUGUUGUCGGAGUUUAGAGUGACGAAAAGUAGCUAGUUAACGUCAGCUAACGGAUUUCUUGUCUCGUCAAUGAGCAGCCCAAAUGUAGCCGUUGCUAUGUGUACACACGCAGAGGAGCGCAUGGGGCAGUGCAGGAAGCAAGGGACAGACCGAGAUUAGCUAUUGAUACUAAUUGAGGAAGUUACUGUGUUUCUAAUUAUGUGUUGAGAAAUCGGGCUUCGGUAGGGUAGGGCAUGAGCGUCACCAGCAUGGGUAGGGCUCGGCCUAAAAUGUCAUGCCUCUGCUUUUCUUUUCAUUCAAAUAGUUAAAAUACCACUAAAAUACUUUUAAAGAGCUGUCAUCACUAGAUGUAUCAUCACAUUUCCCUCCCCAAAUAAUAGCCUAAAUGUUUCUAAUUCAUUAUGAGUUCCUCCCUUCCACCACAACAGCAAGUCUUCAUAUUCAGAAAGCAUUUUCUAUCUCACUUUGAACAACCGACCUAUGAAGACUCUGUACUGUUUGAUCAUUACAUCCUCAUUAAACUAAAAUCAAACUUCA